AUACCGUAAUCAAUAAAUAAGUAUUAUAUUGUAUUACAUUAUAAUAUUAUUAUCACUAUUAUAUGUAUACACAAUAUAUUAUAUUAUUACCAUAGCACAAUAUUAGUAAAUGAAUGAACAAUACAAUAUUUAAAAAUAAAAACAAUUUUAACCAAUAUAAACCUAUCAGGAUUUCAAUGGGAAGUGUGGGCCUGCUUCUGCCCAAUGAGAUAGUCAAGUUAAUUAGGAUUGUUGUUGUUGUUGUUGUGUGCCUUCAAGUCAUUUCAGACUUUGGGCAAGUCUAAGUCUAAAACUGAGGGCGGCGGCAACGUAAAUGACCUUGGAGGGCUGCAUCCGGCCCCUGGGCCUUAGUUUGGGGACCCCUGUCUUAGAGAGUACAGAUCACAGAGAUCAACAGGGAACCUUGUGCAACCUUUAUUGAAGAGGUUUUUGAGAGAAUAUAGAAAGAGAUCUUUUGCAUGUAUAGUAUGGCCCCUGUAUCCAUGGGACUGAUAUCCAUGGUUUCAUUUAUCAACAUCCAACAAAAUAUUUGUUCUAUAAGCAUUUUCUAGGUCCUCCAGGACAUCUCUAUGGUAUUUUUGGACAAGCUGUACUUCAUUUCAAUAAGUUUCACUUCUCCAUGUGGUUUUGUGUAUUCAUGUGAAGUAUGGGAACAUAUCCUCCAAGGAUAUGGGGUCAUAUUGUACUUGCCUUGCACUUGUGCAGUAUUGUAAGUUGUCAUGCAUUUCACAGUAACAAAUUAUAAAACAAUCACAAUUACUGGGAUCGUAUAGCGAAUAGUACAGUUGUCAUAUCUGAAGAAACUGGUAUAGAAUUAAAGAGAAAAUUAUGUGGUUUUGUAUGACCUGCUUCCAAGAUCAGAUUUAGGCUCUUUAAAAUUCUAUCUCUCUAUCUGUCUGUUAUCAGGCCACAAAACCUCCCUCCUCAAAAGUUUUAAGAACAAUAAGAAGAUUUAAAACAAGAGAUGUGAUUAUUUUCUUUAUUUUUUAAACAUUUUCCAUGUUUUCAAAGUUACAAAACGAUGCUGCUAGAGGCUCCGAAAGAACCUUGCAGCAGCUGUACACUGAACUCUAUUAAAUCUAAACCCUUUAAUUAAAUGUAUAAAAUGAUACUUUCUGUGUACCUUGUAUUGCUUGUAUACUGUGUCAACUUCUAAAUGUAUACAUUUGUAUCAAAUGUAUCCUGAAGGCAUCCACUGUCUCCAUGCCCCCUGUUUACAUAAGCUCCUGGGAACAGAGAUCGCUAUACAAUUAACAAAAUCUUUUUAGUAAUCUCCCUUGCCAGAUAAAGGCAAAACCUUUGUGUAUACUAUAUAUGUGAAGCUGAUGAUCCUUUUUGUCACCAAAUGAGCUUAAGAUGUUUUCCUGGGUAGACAAGGCUAGAUGCUUGUCAUUCCCAUGAAAGAGAGGGCUAAACAAAUAUGGUUAUAUUUGUCUUCUGAAUAGGCAGCUGGACCCCUGGUUAUUUGGGAUUGUCACUCUUUGUCUCUUGUGUCUUGCACCUUUGUCUCUUAAGUUAAUUAAGGAAUCAUCUGAAUACCCAUGUCAUAACUUCUCCCAGUUUUGCCCCCUCUCAGGGGGCAUCUCUGAAACAGACUGGACCUUUAAACUGACCAACCAUCAUCUGUUCUUUCCGCCAUGGGGAUCUCCUCCUUCUUUCAGUGACGGCAGAGAAAUCUCCAGCCAAUCCCUUCAUGGAUCCUAGCUUUGCCCUCAACUUGGGGUACUUGUUCUCAGUCCUGGCUGAUCUGGUUUAGCAAAAGCUCACCAGGCAUGGGUCUCCUUAUCUGCAGUCCCAGCUGAAAUCAUUACAUAUCUAUUGAUCUAUCUAUCUAUCUAUCUAUCUAUCUAUCUAUCUAUCUAUCUAUGCCAUCUACACAUACAACACAACACAACACUGAAAACCAUGGCCCUCCACCAGUUCCCGAAAAACAAAUAUGUCCCCUUUCCAUCAUAGUUGCCCUAGUUUAAACAAUAGCUAUCCGGGUACGUAAAAGGGGGUGAGGGAAAUUCAAGUAAAAAGACAAAGUCAUUUUAAGACAACAUAAAAUUAAGCCUGAGAUGAUUGUAUCCAACAUUUCAGCUGUAAUCCCCAGCAACAAUGCAGCUGACCGUGAACAUGCCAUGUUCCACUAGAACGAUUGCAUAGGCUUUCGAUAAGGCUGUGUUCAAAUGAAAUCUAAAUGAAAAUAAUUGGAACAGAAGACCUGAGUGAAAACAGAACUAUCAGGACUGAUGAUGAUGCUCAUGGACAGAAUGAGAGGUGUGGUGAGGAAAAUUACCAUUCCACAGCUUGUAUUACAGCUGGGAAAAUAAGAAUUUGAUGACAUGCCACUGUCAGGCUCAACAAAAGUCUGGAAGAGCAAUCAAACCUGAACAAAUUAUUCCCAAGACCGUCGGGCAAAUAAUAUCUCUUUCUGUAGCACGAAGAGUAGAAUAAUGAGAGUAAAAUGUCUUACGAUAGAUUAGGGGAAAAUGUUUUGGUAACAAAAAUAUUAUGAAGGCUGAAUGACCAAAUUACCUAUUAGCUAGAAGAAUGAUAGGAUGUCUGUUGCCAUAGAAACAAAUAAUAUGAUUAUUAAUUUUAUUCUUGUCCAACAAGAUGUGUUUCUUAAACACAUGCAAAUGCAUACAGAGGAAAUAUGUGUGUACAGCUUAUAGUCAGAAAAGAAAGCCGAACAGCAGUUUGGAUAUUUGUCCUGGGGACAGCUUUUUUAUGCUGCUGUAUUUCUAUUAGAAAUCUUUGGUGUUCUGAUGAAAUUUGCCCAUUUAUCUUUGUGCCGAUGAAACUCGGUUGUAUUUUUGUGCUCCUGGGUUCCCUUUAGACAUCAAACAUCUUAUUGCAGCAUGUUUCCCAGCUAUUUCAGCAUGGAUGCUCUAUUAUCACCUAAAACCUAACAGGGUGAAGACAAAACUAUUUUUCCUCCAAAGCCUUCUUUAUGAUCUAUUUCCCCCAGCAUGGUUAAUAUUUUUCCCAUUUAUCUUGUGAAGGAAUCCUAUAGUUUUGGCUUUAUUUUUGACUCCCAUUGAGGCUGUAGUUAAGCCAUGUUGAUUUUUUCUUUAUAACACUGGCAAAAAGAAGCCUUUCUUUUCCGCUUCUUUUGCUGAAACAUUUUAUCAUAGUUUGGUAAUUUCUUGUCUUGAUUUUUGCAAUCUGGUUUUGCAUUAUAUCAUCUUAUUCCACUGGUUUCCAUUCAACAUUUUGCUAUACGAUUAUCUUUUUGGCCUGUUAUUUUGAUCAUGCUAACCCACUUUUGAUAUCUCUUCAUUAGUUACCAGUUCUUUCCUAGAUUAAGUUUAAGCUUCUUAUUUUAAUGAUCAAAGCUCAACACAACCUAAUUCCACUCUGUCUUUCAACACUUAUUUCUUUUAUCUGGCCUGCUCAAAAAUGAUAUUCUAGGAAUUUUAGGCUCCUUUUUUUCACUUGCUGCCACAUACUCUGGAAUUUUUCUGUGAACAUUUGCUGACUGCCCUUUCCCUCAUUAUUUUUAAAUCUCAAUUAAAAUCUAUCUUGUUUUCCAAACUGUAUAUAUUUUGAGUACAUGUAUUGAUUAGUUUAUUUUAUAUUUAUAUCACAUUUAUUUUAUUGGUAUUAUUUACUUUACAAUGUUCUAUAGCCUUGGGGAGAGACUAAUAAUAAUAAUAAUAAUAAUAAUAAUAAUAAUAAUAGCAAUAAUAAUAAUAAUAAUAAUAAUAAUAAUAAUAAUAAUAAUACGUUUAUUUAUAUCCCGCCUCCAUCUCCCCCGAAGGGGACUCGGGGUGGCUCACAGCAAAAUCAGAUACAAAACAAUGAUAAAAUAAAAUAUGAAACAUCAAAGAACAAUAAUAAAAAUCAAUAAUAAUAUAUACACAGCAGUCAAAAAAACACAACACGGUAUUAAAACAUCGAAUUAAAAACAAUGAGGUUGCAAUAGCAGAUAAGCAAGGUGCACAUUAUGAGUUACAAAUUUUAAAUAGAUAAAGUACGAUAGAUUCAUUUAAGAUCACAUCGGGUAGGGAGGCCCUGAAUUAAUAUCAAGUAAUCAGGAAAAGAGCGACUAGUACAAAAGGUCGUGGAGUAUAGUUGUAAUUACGAUGGGGAUGGGCGAUCUUAACCAAAGGCCUGGGUGAAAAGCCAGGUUUUCAGGCUCUUCCGAAACGCCAUCAAGGUGGGGGCUUGCCUGAUCUCCCUAGGCAACGAGUUCCAGAGCCGGGGGGCCACUACAGAGAAGGCCCUCUCCCUCAUCCCCACCAGCUUGUGACGCUGGCGGAAGCGAGAGGAGGGCCUCCCCCGAUGACCGAAGAGACCGUACAGAUUCGUAGGGGGAGAGACGAUCCCGAAGGUAGAUGGGUCCCAAACCGUUCAGAGCUUUAUAGGUAAUCACCUGCACUUUGAAUUGGGUCCGGUAAAUAAACAGCAGCAAGUGGAGCUCCUUGAACAGGGUCGUAGACCACUCCCUGUAAUUCGCUCCUGUCAACAGUUACUAUUAUUCUCCUUCCUUCUACAUGUGUACAAUAUUCCCUCAUUUAUCGCGGGGGUUACUUUCCAGGAACACCUGCGAUAAGUGGAAAUCCGCUAAAUAUGGACGUUAUUUUAAUUUUAAUAUUUAUACAUUAUUUUAUUUACCCCAUUGCUCCUGCUUCUCCUCCUCAGGGCUGCCCCCUUGUUUCGGCCCUGCCAUGUUGCCCUAGCUGCCUCUGCCAGGGAAGAAGGAAUGCCGCUCCGCUUGGCCUACCCAGACAGUUUUAAUGACGAAUUUUAAACUUUGUUGUCGAAGGCUUUCAUGGCUGGAAUCACUGGGUUGUUGUGAGUUUUCCAGGCUAUAUGGCCAUGUUCCAGAAGCAUUCUCUCCUGACAUUUCACCCACAUCCAUGGCAGGCAUCCUCAGAGGUUGUGAGCAGUGUUGUAACCCACCUGGAGCUGUAAGGAAAGGCAGAAAGAAAGUAGGCAUUCAGAAAUGGCUCGAGGCAAAUGGAAAAAGCGGGAAGUAAUUUCAUCUGUUUAUAAUUAGACAAAGAAAAACAAGCAUAUGUUUAUGUUUUACUUAACCAUCAAAUGGACUAUGGAUUUUUGUAUUCAUGACAUCAGAAGUUAUAUUUAUAUAUGCUUGUGGAGGACCAUAGCAGCUGACCCUAAAACGGCCUGCCAUUUCACAUGGGUGCUAUAUAUGAUUAAAAAUAAAUUGGAAGUUUAGGAUGACAGUGAAAAGGUUUUGUAAGGUAUAAUACAAAUAAAGAAUUAUAUAAAAGAGUGAAAAGCUGAAGAUGUGGUCCUAAGAAAACUGACAUUAGAAUUAAAUUCCACUGGAAUCAACAUUAUUAAAUUAUAAACCCAAGAUUGUUGUCAGCAAUACAAUAGUGUAUGUACAAAAUCUAAAUUCUUCAGUGGUUGCUUACGGCUGCAGACAGAAUUUCAUCUGCUUUAACUAGCAUUGAGAUACUUUGAUGGUGACAAAGUCUUCCAGUAUAACAUGAGCUUGGAAAAGUUAAUAUUUGGUACUAUGUUCUAUUCACAUGCAUAGCACACAUGAAUAUGGAUACACAUUCCGUUGUACCUUUGGUGGCACUUCCAAGAUAUGCAUCCAUCCACUCAUCCCAUUUUGCUAUACAACAUAAAACUUUCAUAGCACAAACAAUGUGCAACAAUGUGUAACUCCACAUAUAUACAAUGCAACCCUGCACACGAUUUUAGUCACUGUGUAGUUGUAUGUUUUCCGGGCUGUAUGGCCAUGUUCCAGAAGUAUUAUAUUUAGAUUGAUCCUGUAUUCACCUGCAGCCAUGUACAUAUACAAAAUUUCCACCACAGUAGAUUAAGAUGUUCCUGGAGAGGUGAUAUAAUGCUUUGGUUGCAUAUACCUAUUGAUCUCUGCCUUGGUAGGGACAGAUUUUAAUGCCCCCCCCC